GUGUUUGUUUGGGCUCACUAAGUUUCAUUGGACUGGACUACACUAAUUAUUAGUGUAGUCCCAUGUUUGGUAGGCAGAGGGACUAAGUUUAAUGAGAUUAGCCCUCACUCGCUCCGACUAUUUCCUUCGCUCGGAGUUCUUAGCGAGGACGCCCAAAUACCACGGGAUUGCUAAGCCCGUCUUCGAGAGAGAAUCGUCGUUCGUCCUCGUCUGCUCGCUCAUCUUCCUGCACUGGCAUCCUCGUACUGCUCGCCCUUAUCUCCUGCUCGUCAUCAUCUACUCUUGGUCUGGUAAAUUUCAAAUCUGACGAUUUAUUUCUUCGAUUCUGUUCUAGAUCGUUAAAUUAUUACUGGGUUUUCAUCGAUUCAUUGUUUUGGGUUUGAAAAUUCUGAAAAUUUGGAAUUUUUACAUCAAAGAUUGUCAGUUUUGUAGAUAAUAUUAGUUUUCUUGAAUUUUGUGGUUUUGGGUGUUUUUGAUUUGGGUUGAAUUUCAUAAAUUAGUAGUAGCUAAGUGGUCCGAGGCUGGUGGGUUAUUAGCAUCGUUCAAAUUGUUUGUCUGUGUAAUUUGCAAUGACUCUGCAAUACUUUGCAAUGGCAGUAGCCUGGUGCACGGGGCUGCACAUUUGUUCAUAUUAAUAUCAAUAAUUAGGUGUUAUAUGAGGAAAGUAAAAUGAUAAUUAUGGUGCAAAUUUUGAUUAGACAAUUAGUAUUAAGGACAAAGAAUUGUGUGCCUCAACAUGUGGUGCUCUUGUCUAUUCCUAUCACGUCCACAAUUUGAUGUAUAUGCAAGGCUUUUGAUUAGAAAACUAGUAUUACAGACAAAGAAUUGAGAUGCAGAUGCAGAGCUUUGGAGUUUGGGUGUUGUUUUUGGUAAAUUAUUAAUAAAUAAAAUUUGAAAACUUGGAGCCAAAUUCAUUAAUUGUUUGUCUAUGUAUCUAUUUUGCAAUGACUCUGCAAUGGCUGCCAUGGCAGUAGCCUGGUGCACUGGGCUCAGUUGUUUGUUUUGGUCUGCUGUACUUUCCCAUUCAUAUCCAUCCGAUUCUAUUUCAAUUGCUUUUUACAAUUGUUCAUUUAAUCUCACUUAUGUAAAUAAAUGCAGAAAUUUGUUGUUGUUUGAUUCCUUGUGCUGAAAUACUUCAGUUUUAUUUGCAGUUCUUGGUUUUCUUGAUUCCUGUGUGUGUGUAUUGUGUGUGUGUGUGUGUGUUUGUGUAUUGUGGCCGUGUGUGUGUGUGUGUGUGUUUGUGUAGUAUGUGUGUGUAUUGUGUGUAAGUUUGAACCAACUUAAGUUGUACAAUUUGAUUAUGUAUGCAGUGUAUGUAUGUAUGCAGGGUGUGUGUGAGUGUAUGUCAGUGUGUGAGAGUGUGUAUGUCCGUGUGAGUGCAGUGUGUGCAUCUGACCAGUGUGUGUGUGUGUGUAUGUAUGCAGUGUGUGUAUGUAUGCAGUGUGUGUGUGUGUGUGUGUGUGUAUGUAUGUAUGCAGUGUGUGUGUGUGUGUGUGUGUGUAUGUAUGUAUGCAGUGUGUGUGUGUGUAUGUACAUGUGUGUGUGCGUGUGUAUGUAGUGUGUGUGGUGUAUGGCAGUGUGUGUGUUGUAUGUAUGUAUGCAGUGUGUGUGUGUGUGUGUAUGUAUGUAUGCAUGUGUGUGUGUGUGUAUGUAUGCAGUGUGGUGUGUGUGUGUGUGUGUGUAUGCAGUGUGUGUGUGUGUGUAUGUAUGCAGUGUGUGUGUGUGUGUGUGUGUGUGUGUGUGUGUGUGUGUGUGUGUGUGUGUGUGUGUGUGUGUGUGUGUGUGUGUGUGUGUGUGUGUGUGUGUGUGUAUGUAUGCAGUGUGUGUGUGUGUACUUGGUUUAUAACCAUGAUAUUACAAUGUGAAUGUUUUGUAUUGUGUGGGGUUGAUGCUGAAUUGCAAUUUUUUGUGGUUGUUGGUUGCAGAGAAGAGGAGCAUAAACGGAAGGCUAAGGCUAAGAAAGUGUUCGUCCAAAGGCUUUUAAGCGACAACGCAAGCGGAUGAGGAUUUUGGCUAAUGUUAACAUGGAUGUAUUUUAUUAAUGUUAACAUAGAUGUAUUUUUAUUAAUCAUACAAUCUUAUAUGUUAUGGCUUAUAACUUAGCUUUGCACUAGUAUUUUGGCUUAUGUUAACUAGCCAUUUUGUAAAUUAUGGAGAUCUAUUUUGGCUAAUGUUAACUAAUGUUAACUAGGAUUUUCUAAAUUAUGGAGAUCUUCAUUAUGUACUUGUAUUUGUUGAAGUUGCAUGUAUUGGGCACUAUUAUUUUUCUUCUGUUGGGUGAUAGAGUUUAAACCAAGCUACAUUUGCAAAUUAAACCCAAUUCUAUUAGCAGGUAAUAGAAACAAAACAAUUGUCAAUUUUUUUUAAGAUUCAUAAUAUACAUGGCAAAAAUAUGCUCCAAUUAACCCAUAUCAUGAGAUUUGUAGCAUUACUCUAUUACACAAUGACAAAAAUUUGUAGUCCUAGUCUAAGCAAACACAAAUCUGGUGAACAAUACUGUUUUUCUUAUCCUGCUUCUUAGUCCGACAUUACACCAAACGCUUCACUAAAUUAGUCCAGCUUAGUCCAGUCUAAGCCAGUCCAGC
rnacentral:lncRNA from 1 species